UAAAUGACUCUCGGCAACGGAUAUCUCGGCUCACGCAUCGAUGAAGAACGUAGCAAAAUGCGAUACUUGGUGUGAAUUGCAGAAUCCCGUGAACCAUCGAGUUUUUGAACGCAAGUUGCGCCCGAAGCCUUUUGGCUGAGGGCACGUCUGCCUGGGCGUCACAC
rnacentral:rRNA from 2 species